GGGAGUUUGGUCUAGUGGUAUAAUUCUCGCUUUGGGUGCGAGAGGCCGCGAGUUCGAUUGUCGCAACUCCCC
rnacentral:tRNA from 1 species